GUGUUGUACAAAAGGAGAGAAGGUUAGUACUCCCCUUGACAAGGAUGGAAGAGGCCCUCAGGCCUGACAACACACAUAUGGUUAAGGCAUUGCCACCUACUUUGUGGCAUCUAACCAUCGUUUUUU
ensembl:snRNA